rnacentral:tRNA from 1 species
AAAACACUAGUAAAAUAGAAAAUUACACUGCCUUGUCAAGGCAGAAUUGUGAGUUAAACUCUCGCGUGUUUUA